UACGUAGGGGGCAAGCGUUGUCCGGAUUUACUGGGCGUAAAGCGUGCGCAGGCGGUUGUGCAAGACCGAUGUGAAAUCCCCGGGCUUAACCUGGGAAUGGCAUUGGUGACUGCACGGCUAGAGUGUGUCAGAGGGGGGUAGGAAUUCCACGUGUAGCAGUGAAAUGCGUAGAUAUGUGGAGGAACACCGAUGGCGAAGGCAGCCCCCUGGGUUAACACUGACGCUCAUGCACGAAAGCGUGGGGAGCAAACAGG
rnacentral:rRNA from 1 species